rnacentral:rRNA from 1 species
UACGUAGGGGGCUAGCGUUGUCCGGAAUCAUUGGGCGUAAAGAGCGUGUAGGCGGCCGGUAAGUCCGCUGUAAAAGUCAAAGGCUCAACCUUUGAAUGUCAGUGGAUACUGCCGGGCUAGAGUCCGGAAGAGGCGAGUGGAACUCCUGGUGUAGCGGUGGAAUGCGCAGAUAUCAGGAGGAACACCGGUGGCGAAGGCGGGUCUCUGGGCAGUAACUGACGCUGAGGAGCGAAAAGCGUGGGGAGCGAACAGG